GGGGUGAAAAGAACAAAGUUUUGUCCAUUUUUGUUCAUCAUAGCCUAAAGUUAGAGAAGAGAAAGGAGAGGAGAAAGCUCUUGAAUGUUCAGUCACUUGGGGAAGAAAAUUGAAGGAAAUCCCCAACCAUAGUAGGCUUCGAGCUGUGAGGGAAUUCGGAGUGGCCACCCGUUCUGAAAGUUUGGUUUUCUUCUAGUGAACUGGACAUCCUAUUAUUUACGUUGAGGUUUGGGUUUUAAAUGUAAUAAGGCCGCUUAAUUAUUUUUGAUGGUUUUAAUAUGUAUUACUAAGAUAUGUAUUAUUUAUUUUAACUGUUGAAAUUGGAUA